GAUGAACGCUGGCGGCGUGCCUAAUACAUGCAAGUCGAGCGAACGGACGAGAAGCUUGCUUCUCUGAUGUUAGCGGCGGACGGGUGAGUAACACGUGGAUAACCUACCUAUAAGACUGGGAUAACUUCGGGAAACCGUAGCUAAUACCGGAUAAUAUUUUGAACCGCAUGGUUCAAAAGCGAAGGACGGUCUUGCUGUCACUUAUAGAUGGAUCCGCGCUGCAUUAGCUAGUUGGUAAGGUAACGGCUUACCAAGGCAACGAUGCAUAGCCGACCUGAGAGGGUGAUCGGCCACACUGGAACUGAGACACGGUCCAGACUCCUACGGGAGGCAGCAGUAGGGAAUCUUCCGCAAUGGGCGAAAGCCUGACGGAGCAACGCCGCGUGAGUGAUGAAGGUCUUCGGAUCGUAAAACUCUGUUAUUAGGGAAGAACAUAUGUGUAAGUAACUGUGCACAUCUUGACGGUACCUAAUCAGAAAGCCACGGCUAACUACGUGCCAGCAGCCGCGGUAAUACGUAGGUGGCAAGCGUUAUCCGGAAUUAUUGGGCGUAAAGCGCGCGUAGGCGGUUUUUUAAGUCUGAUGUGAAAGCCCACGGCUCAACCGUGGAGGGUCAUUGGAAACUGGAAAACUUGAGUGCAGAAGAGGAAAGUGGAAUUCCAUGUGUAGCGGUGAAAUGCGCAGAGAUAUGGAGGAACACCAGUGGCGAAGGCGACUUUCUGGUCUGUAACUGACGCUGAUGUGCGAAAGCGUGGGGAUCAAACAGGAUUAGAUACCCUGGUAGUCCACGCCGUAAACGAUGAGUGCUAAGUGUUAGGGGGUUUCCGCCCCUUAGUGCUGCAGCUAACGCAUUAAGCACUCCGCCUGGGGAGUACGACCGCAAGGUUGAAACUCAAAGGAAUUGACGGGGACCCGCACAAGCGGUGGAGCAUGUGGUUUAAUUCGAAGCAACGCGAAGAACCUUACCAAAUCUUGACAUCCUUUGACAACUCUAGAGAUAGAGCCUUCCCCUUCGGGGGACAAAGUGACAGGUGGUGCAUGGUUGUCGUCAGCUCGUGUCGUGAGAUGUUGGGUUAAGUCCCGCAACGAGCGCAACCCUUAAGCUUAGUUGCCAUCAUUAAGUUGGGCACUCUAAGUUGACUGCCGGUGACAAACCGGAGGAAGGUGGGGAUGACGUCAAAUCAUCAUGCCCCUUAUGAUUUGGGCUACACACGUGCUACAAUGGACAAUACAAAGGGCAGCGAAACCGCGAGGUCAAGCAAAUCCCAUAAAGUUGUUCUCAGUUCGGAUUGUAGUCUGCAACUCGACUACAUGAAGCUGGAAUCGCUAGUAAUCGUAGAUCAGCAUGCUACGGUGAAUACGUUCCCGGGUCU
rnacentral:rRNA from 1 species